CAUAAUUUUAACAUAUCUUAUUUUGAAUAAAAAUAAAGCCCUUUCAAGAAUUUAAAACAAAUUACAGUUUUAAAAACAAAUAAUAGGGGAGUUAAUAAAAAAAUAAUUAAAUUCAGCAUUUUUAAAAAAAUUGUAGUUCCGUACUUGUUAAACCACUGCAUUUUAUUUUCAACAAAUCACUGAAUCUGGGCUAUUUUCCGGAUUCUUGGAAAAAAUUGUUUGUGACCCCAAUUCAUAAGACAGGGAUAGACAUAAUAUUGCUAAUUACAGACCAAUUUCCAAAUUGUCCAUUAUUCCCAAAAUAUUUGAAGCUAUAAUAACUAAAAAAAACUCUCCAUAAUUGUCUAUCCUCUUAUUUGCAAAAACCAACGUGGGUUCAGACCUAAAAUGUCAAUCUCCACUAACAUCUUACUUUAUCAAUCCAAAAUACUUAAAGCCUUAAAUAAUCGUGUUCAGUUAGAUUCAAUCUAUAAUGACUUUCAGAAAGCUUUCGAUAAGGUUAAUCAUCACCUACUUCUUAAAAAAAUAUCUACAUUUGGUAUUCAUGGACAUUUUUUAAAUUGGUUAUGGUCCUAUUUAAACUGUCGAACUCGAGCGGUUAAAGUAUCACAUAGUAUCUCUCCCUACUUCUCAGUUAGUUCUGGUGUACUGGUGUUCAGGUUCCCAUUUAGGACCUCUUUUAUUCAUAAUAUUCAUUAAUGAUUUACCCUCUAUUUUUGAUAACUGGGUCGAUAUACUGCUAUUUGCUGAUGACGCAAAAAUUUUUUCUACAAUUU